UGCCAUCUGUGUUGGAGCCUGUAGCGU
rnacentral:piRNA from 1 species